rnacentral:rRNA from 1 species
GGAAGGUCCGGGCGUUAUCCGGAUUUAUUGGGUUUAAAGGGAGCGUAGGCCGGAGAUUAAGCGUGUUGUGAAAUGUAGACGCUCAACGUCUGCACUGCAGCGCGAACUGGUUUCCUUGAGUACGCACAAAGUGGGCGGAAUUCGUGGUGUAGCGGUGAAAUGCUUAGAUAUCACGAAGAACUCCGAUUGCGAAGGCAGCUCACUGGAGCGCAACUGACGCUGAAGCUCGAAAGUGUGGGUAUCAAACAGGAUUAGAUACCCUGGUAGUCCACGCCCUAAACGAUGUAUACCGGUUGUUGCUUUGCUAGUCAAGGCAGUAAUCCAGCUAACGCAUUAAGUAUACCGCCUGGGGAGU